CGUCGGGCAACGGCGGAUGGCAACGGGGCCUCUGCUGCCGACCCCUGAACGACCGGUGCAGAUUCAACACCACGUCGCAGAACACGUAGCGCACCAGCAACAGUCGUAGGAAAUCGUCGCCGAAGAAUUGCAACACGCUGGUCUCUGCGUGGACCGGAAUGCCCGUGAUAAGUUUAUCUCUCGACCUCGAUGCAGAAGAAGGGUUAAGAAACUUCUCGCUGGGAUUACGUAAGCGUUGAUAACCCUUGUACCAGAUAGAGGGGGAGGGGUGGAAUCCCGCUAAGGUAUCUCUCUCCCUUGGCUGAAUCUUUUCGAUUCUCCAAAUUCAACGCCGUCCAAGUCUUAUCCGCGUGAAAAACGAGCCACCCCUCCCUCUCUCUCUCUCUUCUCUGGAUAAUAAAAUAAUCAAAUUUUCAUCGUCAAAAAAAUUUGUAAGAAGAAUUUGUCAAAAGUGGAAAA